rnacentral:rRNA from 1 species
CCUACGGGUGGCAGCAGUGAGGAAUAUUGGUCAAUGGACGAGAGUCUGAACCAGCCAAGUAGCGUGAAGGAUGACUGCCCUAUGGGUUGUAAACUUCUUUUAUAUGGGAAUAAAAUGUUUCACGUGUGGGAUUUUGUAUGUACCAUAUGAAUAAGGAUCGGCUAAAUCCGUGCCAGCAGCCGCGGUAAUACGGAGGAUCCGAGCGUUAUCCGGCAUUAUUGGGUUUAAAGGGAGCGUAGAUGGAUUGUUAAGUCAGUUGUGAAAGUUUGCGGCUCAACCGUAAAAUUGCAGUGGAAACUGGCAGUCUGGAGUACAGUAGAGGUGAGCGGAAUUCGUGGUGUAGCGGUGAAAUGCUUAGAUAUCACGAAGAACUCCGAUUGCGAAGGCAGCUCACUGGACUGCAACUGACACUGAGGCUCGAAAGUGUGGGUAUCAAACAGGAUUAGAUACCCGAGUAGUC